CAGAAUCUUUUGACAUAUGAAUUCAUCUUGACUAAGGAACUCUUCACAGCACUGCAUUUGAACAGUCACAACCCCACAGAGCAGCACAACCGCCCCACUCAUGAUCAGUGUUAUGGUGCCAUUUUAAAGCUGGAACCUCAUCUUGUGUACAGCAAAGGCAGAGCUGAAAAUUCACUGUUUGUCUUGUAUUGUGUGUGGCAAGACCUGGAAUAACACCUGGGAGCCCUCCAGGAAUUCCUGACACUUUACGCCCAAGUCUCCUCAUGCUAACCGGAUUGCAAUAUGACAGUCUAGUCAGCAUAAACACCUGGACUCACCAAGCACACUUUGGUUCUCAGUGUUUUUUGGUUCUGUAGUAUUUUUUAAAAACAGCUUUUAUUGACUUGAUCAGUAUAUAUCAGACUAU